UACGUACAAUCGAAUUCGAAACGCUGACGGUGCAGGACCCGGAGGAAGCGGCUCACGAAACCAGAUCGAGUUAACUUUGUUUCGGACGACACAUCUGCCUCCGGAGAAGAAAAUUCCGUUGUGCGUGUCGAGCGAACACCGCUUACGACGUCCUUGGAUUCGCACAACCUCUUUUCGGCUCCCCGUUUGCUCGAUAUAUCGGGAUCAAAAUAGAUGGGUUUCGGGUGUUCUGCACCGCAGGAGCGAAAACGAACUUCGUCGGAGGCUCUUCUGACUUAGGAACGUAACGAGCUCAAGGCUGUGAGUGCGCAACCGAACUUUCAGGCAGCCUGCGCGUUCCUCCGUUCGGGUAUAAUCCUUGCUAAUUUGCAUCGCCCUGAUAAUGUUUUUCUCAUUUAUCCAGGCGAUAUUAUUAUAAUAACCGGCUUUACGCUGCCAGCUACCGCGCCGUAUAUUUGAUUACGGUAUCAGCUAAUCAAGGGUAACGAUUUCCUACUCGACGGAUUUCUGUAUUCGAACUCUCCGGUGU
rnacentral:misc_RNA from 1 species